GUGCUCGCUUUGGCAGCACAUAUACUAAAAUUGAAAUGACACAGAGAAGAUUAGCAUGUCCCCCCACACAGGGGAGAAAAAGAGUUGGGACCUGGCUUC
rnacentral:snRNA from 10 species